CAUACCUCUUAGGUAGCCUGUUUCACUUUUAGACAACAUUAGUGAUAGGGAGCCUUGGUGAGUUCUGGAGCAGCAUAGAAUCUUAGAAUUGGCAGGAAUUCCAGAUCUCAUCUACUUGAACACUCCUGAACAAAGGGCUGCACCUAGGAAACUAGGGAAAAAAAUGUAUACUUUCAUGGAACAAAAUGAGACUUUUUAGAGUCCCAGAACUCUGGUAAGCUAAAUGAGGGGAAAUUAUGAAUUUAACUUUGGAUGCAUUGUGUUUCAGAUGUAAAAAAGUUCUAGUAGUGCUGUUCUGGAACUGAUCAGGAGCUCAGGAGAAAGAUCAAGACUGGAGAUGUAGGAAAGAUUGUUGAAACUCCAAAAGUGGGUGAAUUCUUUGAAUGGAUUUCCUUUGGGCAAUACUUCUUUCCCCCAUUGACUCCACAGAGGAAGACCGGCAUAAACAGACAUCUGGCAAAGAGAAAAUGAUUUUAGAGUUCCAUUUUGAGGAGGCAGCACACAGUAUUGGAAGGGGUGCUGGCUUUGGAGCAGAGGUCAGAGGUUUUGUGUCUCAUCUCUGUUAUUUGCCACCUGUGUAGUCCCAGGUAAGUCACUCUUCCUUUUUGGAAAUUGCUUUCCCCAUGUAUAAACAGAGAUGUUCAGGGUCCUUUAUGACUUAAAAAUGACCUCAGAUCACCUGUUUCCUGCCCUAGUCUUCUUUUUACUUUCUCAUACCCAACACUCUUGUGCUGAGGUAUAAACAAUUCUAGACCUGGGCUCUUCCUUUUUUUAGAGGGAGAAGUAAAAUUGGCUGAAACAGCAGACUCUCAAAGUCUUGAUUGACAAUGAUCCCAAGAAUCUUGCUCCCCUUUCAAUAGAAGAAUAUGGAGGGGGCAGCUGGGUGGCCCAGUGGAUUGAGAGCCAGUCCUAGAGACGGGAGGUUCUAGGUUCAAAUCUGACCUCAGACACUUCCCAGCUGUGUGACCCUGGGCAAGUCCCUUAACCCCCAUUGCCUAGACCUUACUGCUCUUCUUCCUUGGAGCCAAUACUGAAACAAUAAGAGGUGAAGAUAAUAAGAGGUAAGGGUUAAAAAAAAAGAAAGAAUAUGGAAACCAUUUCCUGCCUUGGUAUUUAGGUCUCUAUUUAGAGUGGGAGCACAUGUAGCAUUGUACAGGAAAUUAUGGGGGAUGAUGACAAACUUUGAUGCCUUAACAGUAUUGGAAAGAGCCUUCAGGGCACUUCUGAAGCCCUUUACUAAGGUCAUCCUCUGUCCAAAGGAAAAAGUGUGUAUAUUGCUGACCUACUAAAGAUUUGGAGAAUCGCUCCAUUGUUCCCGCUGUAUCUGGGGCUGGAUAAGUGGGGAGAUGAUCCAAAGGUAUGACUGGAUUUCAGCAGUGGUCAAGUGCUUAUUGCCUGCAUGCCGGGGUUCUGAGCUG
rnacentral:lncRNA from 1 species